CGCGCUGACCCGGCCCGCGUGGUUAAUGAAUCACGGUGUGACACAGCCGCCAGGUCGGAUUUGAACCCAGGCCUCCAAGGAAAGUGUGACGUCAGGUGGCCAUGGAUCCCUGCAAGCUAGGUUAUAAAUGGAGCCCCUCCCUAGGCUUGUCUCUUUAUCCUCCCAGCCAAUAUAUGGAGCAGGCACUGAAAUAACCACAUGGCCUAGCCUGGCUGCUCACAGACGGGACAGCCGAGAUCAUUGGUUUCGGGAACAAGUCUUGUCCAA